rnacentral:rRNA from 1 species
GACGGAGGGUGCGAGCGUUAUCCGGAAUCACUGGGCGUAAAGCGUCUGUAGGUGGUGAUGCAAGUCACUGGUGCAAAACUCUGGCUCAACCGGAGGAAAGCCAGUGAAACUGCAUGACUAGAGUGUGGGAGAGGUAGAAGGAAUUCCCUGAGUAGCGGUGAAAUGCGUAGAUACAGGGAAGAACACCGGAGGCGAAAGCGUUCUACUGGAACACAACUGACACUGAGAGACGAAAGCUACGGGAGCGAAUGGG